CAGCACUUCUCCUAGAUUACACUUGGAACUGUGUACAAGGCUCUUGCUGUUUUAUGCUGGGAAAUCUCUCUCCCCCGCUGAUAAGAUUAAAGAGCUAACUCUCAGGAUGCUUGGCCAGCCUGCAAGCCUGCAAUCAAGGUGACACUAGAUUCCUGGGGACCUUGACUGUUGGGGGUUGGGAAGGAGGAAAGAGAGCAGCAGGGAAGGAUUCUUCCAGAAGCUCCAGAAGCAGCUUGAGCAGCAGAGAGAAAAGAGGCAAAGUGUGGGAGGCAGAGGAUGUGAGGGGGCAUUCACUGCAGCUCUUUGCCAACUGGAGAGAGACAAACGGCAUGCUCAGGAAUUCCAGUGUUGGUUGCACAGAGCAACUAGGGGAGGAGCUUUGCCAUCACCAGAAGGACUGCCUUUCCAGACUUUUGAACUGGGCCUCCCUCACAGAAGGACCACCUUUCCAUUCCAGGUUCCAGAAGGUUUCGGAGGCUGUGGUCCACGGGCAGCGUUAUCACGAGAGGCCAUCAAACCAGGUGGAGUGUCUUUUCAUGAUGAGUUUUCGGAGGACCCUGGUCUUGUCCUCCUUCUCCUCAGUGCACCCUUAUAGGAGAUGGUGUGACAUAAAGGAUGUUUCUCUGAUCAACAUUGGAAUUGAUUUGUGUGAAGAGAGAAAGAGAAGGAGCUCUUUAAGAGAAGAGGGACCAGAGGAGUCCAUGCUUUAUAAGAGCCAGCAAGAAGUAGCUGAGACAGUCCAUGGGAAGUAUUUCAUAUACUGUGUAGUUUUGUGUACAAAGAUACUUCUGAAGAGUUAGACAAAAAGCUGUCACACCACUCAAACCCCACCCCCUUGCUACACUCACAAGUUUUCCUUUGUAAUGUAGAAAAUUUGCUAGGAACCUGUUUCUUGUUUAAAAAACAUCUGGGGGCAUAUGCUUCAAGGUCAUAGGCAGAUGUAGCAGUUACCUGCUACCUCACUAGGGGUGGUGCUUCAAGGUCAAAGCUAGAACAGCUACCCACUAUAUCGCACAUCUGCAAUUGUAGCAUUUGGGAGGUAGGGGCAGGAGGACCAGAAAUUUGAGGUCAUCCUAGGCCAAAUAGUGAGUCUGAGGCAAACUUGGGCUACAUAAGACCCUGUCUCAGGCACACACACACACACACACACACACACACACACACACACACACACGAAAACAAUAACAAAACUCUGUCUUGAUUAAACUACUAUAAAGGUUCACUUUCCCUUUCAGCCUUAUUUACUAUGCUAAUUUGAUCUUUGGUGAACCAGUUUUCAAAAUUUCUCCAGUUUUCCAUUUUAUUUUUUCAUUAAGUUUUUAUUUGGAGAUAAUUGUGUUGGCAGCAGUAAUAAGAAAUAACACCCAGAGCUGGGCAGUGGUGGUACAUGCUUUUAAUCCCAGCACUUGGGAGGCAAGUGAAUCUCUGUGAGUUUGAGGCCAGCCUGGUCUACAAAGUGAGAUCCAAGAUAGCCAGGACUGUAACAAAGAGAAACCUUGUCUUGAAAAACAAACAAAAACCAAACCAAACCAAAAAACAACAGCAAAAAAGAAAAAAGAAAUAACACUCAGAGUGUCUGCACUACAGUACAUUUACACUCUGUAUCUGCAUAUAUAGUCUCUCUCUCUCUCUCUCUCUCUCUCUCUCUCUCUCUCUCUCUCUCGCUCUCGCUCUCGCUCUCGCUCUCGCUCUCGCUCUCGCUCUUGCUCUCACUCUCAUGGUUCCGAAUGUUUAAUUUCCUUUGUUCUAUCUUUAGCUUAUAAAUUUUCAAUUUCUGUAUUCUUCUGUUGAGUCAAUAUGUUAUGUUCCAUUUAAGUCAGUGUAAUUUCCAGUCCUAUAAUUCCUACCUGGUUCUCUAGAGCGUCUGCUUCCCAUUAAGUUAUCUUCGUUCUUGUUGAAUGAUUCUUUAUUUUCACUUGUUUCAAAGGUGCUCUUAACUUUCCAUUGAUGAAUUAAGUCAUAACAAUUCUUAUAUUGUUUUGUAUGGGUGUCUACUUUUCUGUCCAUUCCAGGUGAGAUUUUCCUCCUUUUUUGUAUUAUAUUUAUGUUAUAUUUUCUGUGAUGAUUAAAAAAAACUGGACCUGUCUGAGAAUCUAGGUCUUAUGUAUGUAUACUUUCUAUUUCAGCUGUGCUUUGUAAUGCUGCUCUUUCAGGGGUUGAGAGCUCACCCUUUGAUUUUCCAGCUUCUAGGCCUCAGCACACCUCCUUGUAGCAUGCGAAUGGAAAGCACACUGUGCAGGUACCAGGAGUGACUUGCUGUUCAUCCUUCUAGGAAGCAUCAUCACAGCAAACUCAUGACUGAGUAAACUAAAAUGUGGAGAAGGUGAGGAUUUUCCCAAACCUCUUGAUAUUGACAUUG